rnacentral:rRNA from 1 species
CUCGAAAUCCUCUUGCGGGGGGAUUCAGUCAGGCUGGCGGAUAGUCUAAGGUGGUUCGUAAAUCUAUUCUAUAGGUUGCGGCCGCUAUAGAUCUGUCCUCUUCCUGACGCAUUUCUCGCCCGUCACUCUGGACGCCGCAGCAGGUCGGUCUUUGUUGGCCAUGAGGGCAACACCUUGUAGCUAGCCAUUUCGGUCCUUUUUAAGGGUCAAUCUGUGCUAUUUACCCGUUGUCAUCAGCGCGACUGCCGACCUGCGUCUUCGAUCUCGCUACGGCGAGAGCAAGCCUUGCGACAGGUGUGUCUUGGCGUGGGCGUCUCGUCUUCGUACGGGGCGUUCGUGUUUCGACCGCCGUUGGUUCGCAAUAAGCUUGCAUAUUCAUAUGCGGCGAGUAGGUCGGUCACCCACCCGACCCGUCUUGAAACACGGACCAAGGAGUCUAACAUGUGCGCAAGUCAAUGGGUCUUGCUCAUGCCCAAAGGCGCAAUGAAAGUAAAUCAUUUUGGGAUUCUACCUUCCGAGAGAGAGGUAGAAGCACCAAAAACCCGACCGUAUUGAUUUUCUCUCAGGAGAAUAAUUAGAGUGUGGCCGGAGUGAGAGCGCACACGUUGGUACCCGAAAGAUGGUGAACUAUGCCUGGGCAGGACGAAGCCAGAGGAAACUCUGGUGGAGGUCCGCAGCGGUU